AAAACCUUCUUUUUGAGCCAAGGUUUCAAACUAUGCUAAUUUGUAGUAAUAUUUAUCACACUGAGUUCUCUUCACGGAUGCCAGAUGGAUAUGCUUUAGCACACAUGGAACUGCUCAGACAGAAUAUGUUCUCCAAAAGGACUACUGUAAUAAAUAAGCUGGUUCAGUCAUGACAAGGAAGAGGAAAAAGGGAAAAAAAGAAUGCUGGGGGGAUUCCCCACUGCUUUUUAUCUUCAAGGAAACAAAACCUUCACAAAGUAAUGGUUGCUGUUCCUUUCAUAGAGGGACUUGACAAUUAUUUCAACCGGCGAGCUGGUAAGAAGGAUGCCAAGGAGUUAGCCGAAAAGUCAGAAGUCUGUUGUUCCCGUUCGGAGAAAUGUAUGGAUUUGGAAAUUUAUUGAUGAAAUUCUGUUUGCAAACAAUGAACAGAGGCUUGUAUUGUGAAUCACAAAAGUAACACUACAAGAGUACUUUUGCUCAUAACUCAAAAUACCCCUUUCAUCUCGCAGUAAAUACCAAAACUCAGCUUCUAAAACUCAUGCUCAGUAGUUUUGUACAUUCCUUGCUGCAUUUUCCUUCAGCUUUCUGCUGUUUAAUUGUCCUUUUUUAUUAAUUUAUUAAUUUAUUAAUUUAUUCUUCUUCUGUUCACAGGCAGAAUUAUUCCUAACAAAGAAAACAGCAAAAUUAUUUCACUUGUUUGUUAUUUUUUGUUGUAUGGAGACUAUUAUUGUCUCGUCUAACUGAUUUCAAAAGACUAUUUGCUGCUUGUAAUCAUUUGUAGAGAUAACUAGCAUUUAAGGCCAGCUUGUGGCACUGUGCAUUGGUUUGGCAGGGGUCAAAGUGAAAUUUUUUCACUUCAUCUUGAGUACGUAUAAUGAAUAAAGAGUUAUUUCUAUUUGAAAAUUCCUGUGGAAAAUUUCACUUAACAGGGCCUAUAUCAUACUUCGUUCACAUAUGCGACACCUCUACAAACUCUGGAGCUAUACAGUGUUGUAACCUACAUGCAACUUUCACACACUACUUCUGAAGACAGAUAUAAAACAUAUGUACCCUUAAAUGUUAUAUUAUACUGUACUGAGAAGCAGGCUAUAUAUGUUUGACCAAUUAGUGAUGCUUUAGUCAGCUGUGCUUAGUUAACAUGUCAUUAAAUGUCCAACAACAACCACAUAAGUGCAGAUUGUCAAGCUUUGAUUAUACUUUUCUUUUGUCAAAUAAAGUUUUGUCAGACCUUUGAUGUAUCCCUAACUUUCUGAUG